GACGAACGCUGGCGGCGCGCCUAACACAUGCAAGUCGAACGAGCGAGAGAGAGCUUGCUUUCUCGAGCGAGUGGCGAACGGGUGAGUAACGCGUGAGGAACCUGCCUCAAAGAGGGGGACAACAGUUGGAAACGACUGCUAAUACCGCAUAAGCCCACGGGUCGGCAUCGACCAGAGGGAAAAGGAGCAAUCCGCUUUGAGAUGGCCUCGCGUCCGAUUAGCUAGUUGGUGAGGUAACGGCCCACCAAGGCGACGAUCGGUAGCCAGACUGAGAGGUUGAACGGCCACAUUGGGACUGAGACACGGCCCAGACUCCUACGGGAGGCAGCAGUGGGGAAUAUUGCACAAUGGGGGAAACCCUAAUGCAGCGACGCCGCGAGAGGAAGAAGGUCUUCGGAUUGUAAACUCCUGUUGUUGAGGAAGAUAAUGACGGUACUCAACAAGGAAGUGACGGCUAACUACGUGCCAGCAGCCGCGGUAAAACGUAGGUCACAAGCGUUGUCCGGAAUUACUGGGUGUAAAGGGAGCGCAGGCGGGAAGACAAGUUGGAAGUGAAAUCCAUGGGCUCAACCCAUGAACUGCUUUCAAAACUGUUUUUCUUGAGUAGUGCAGAGGUAGGCGGAAUUCCCGGUGUAGCGGUGGAAUGCGUAGAUAUCGGGAGGAACACCAGUGGCGAAGGCGGCCUACUGGGCACCAACUGACGCUGAGGCUCGAAAGUGUGGGUAGCAAACAGGAUUGAUACCCCCGGUAUUCCACCCGUAAACGAUGAUUACAAGGGUUGGAGGGUUGACCCCUUCAGGCCGGCAGUUAACACAAUAAGUAAUCCCCCUGGGGAGUACGACCGCAAGGUUGAAACUCAAAGGAAUUGAUGGGGGCCCGCACAAGCAGUGGAGUAUGUGGUUUAAUUUGACGCAACGCGAAGAACCUUACCAAGUCUUGACAUCCCUUGACGAACAUAGAAAUAUGUUUUCUCUUCGGAGCAAGGAGACAGGUGGUGCAUGGUUGUCGUCAGCUCGUGUCGUGAGAUGUUGGGUUAAGUCCCGCAACGAGCGCAACCCUUACUGUCAGUUACUACGCAAGAGGACUCUGGCAGGACUGCCGUUGACAAAACGGAGGAAGGUGGGGAUGACGUCAAAUCAUCAUGCCCUUUAUGACUUGGGCUACACACGUACUACAAUGGCGUUAAACAAAGAGAAGCAAGACCGCGAGGUGGAGCAAAACUCAGAAACAACGUCCCAGUUCGGACUGCAGGCUGCAACUCGCCUGCACGAAGUCGGAAUUGCUAGUAAUCGUGGAUCAGCAUGCCACGGUGAAUACGUUCCCGGGCCUUGCACUCAAGGCCCGUC
rnacentral:rRNA from 1 species